UGCCCUAAUUGCCCUAAUGCCUUAUUUGCAAUCGUAAGGCACAAAUCUUCGAUCAUUAUCAAGGCUUCAUUAUACAUUUCCAAUGUCAGCAGCAAUGCAGGAUCAUUGGAACGAUGUCGAAGUCGAAUCAAAAUGUCUUCAGCCAUGAACUCUUUGUAUUUAUUCCACAAUUCCAGUGGAUUUGAUGGAAAACAUGUUGAUAUUAUGAUCGCAAAUAACAUACGAAUUUGAAUUGGUGGAGAAACAAUUGAUGCAUCACGAAGCGUAGCAUCCCAAUGCGUAUCAUCUUACAGCAAAUGCAAGUGUUGACAUGCUUCACGGUAUGUUGCGCACAAUUGACCAUUAACAGUUCUUCGUAAAUGUUGGAAUGAUUGAGGUCCAUGUACGUUCACCAACAAAAGUCGCAAGUAAAAACAUUCAACAUUAGCUGAACUAACUGUAUAAAUGCGUCCCAAAGCAUCUGUUCGAAAAAUACCUGGAUAACCAUCAACAGAUGUGCCUUGUUUGCGACGUUGAAAUUUUUUUGUUGAUGCAAAGUCCUGGAAAAUUCAUCAGUUUCACAUAACUGAAAAUAAGCUGUCAGUGUAGUUACUGGUGGCUCUACUACUCUUUGCUCGACAUUUGCCGCAGUGUAGUAAACACGUUGGCCGUUUUCAAGAUGAACUGCCAAAUGUACAACAACCGGAUGUCUGUCAUGAAUUGAAAACGAUAAAAUACGCCAUACAGUUUCAUUCGUACUAAUAUAGCGCCCCAUUUGGUACUGCAAAAUUUCGUCAUGAUUAUUCUCAGGAGCCACUCCAAAAACAGCCAUAUCGCUGCCCUUAUUCACAUACUUGCAAAUAUAUUUGAUUGAUUUUACAGAACUGCAAUAUUCUACAUUGAUGUGAGCGUUGAACAUUUUUGACAGCAUCGUUGAUUUACCGUUGUCUUCAGUUGAUCGUCGACGAUACUGUGGAUAUCCAUCACCUCCUGUAAUUGUUUCAGCAAUCAAUUGCUUUGGA